CUAAUCUAUGCUGGAGUUUACUUGAAUGUCACUAUGCUGAUCGUCACCUUCAAGUACACACAUAUCUUCCAUCAUCCUGAGCUUGCCCUCUGCUAUGUGUCUUUUUCCGCAGUUGUCUUCCACCUGACAGCUGUCACCAUUUUCUUUGGAGCUCUCUCUUACAUGGACUUACAACCUGAAUCUACUGUGUUUCAAGAGCAAGAAAAUCCAGCAUCCAUAUUUUGUGGCAUUAUGACUCUCGUGUUAAACUUCCUUAUCUACUGCCUGUGAAAUUAGGAAGUAAAAGAAGCUCUACAGUUAACAAGGAAAAAGUAU
rnacentral:lncRNA from 1 species